AGCGAACGCUGGCGGCAGGCCUAACACAUGCAAGUCGAACGAACCUUUCGGGGUUAGUGGCGGACGGGUGAGUAACACGUGGGAACGUGCCUUUAGGUUCGGAAUAACUCAGGGAAACUUGUGCUAAUACCGAAUGUGCCCUUCGGGGGAAAGAUUUAUCGCCUUUAGAGCGGCCCGCGUCUGAUUAGCUAGUUGGUUGAGGUAAUGGCUCACCAAGGCGACGAUCAGUAGCUGGUCUGAGAGGAUGAUCAGCCACAUUGGGACUGAGACACGGCCCAAACUCCUACGGGAGGCAGCAGUGGGGAAUCUUGCGCAAUGGGCGAAAGCCUGACGCAGCCAUGCCGCGUGAUUGAUGAAGGUCUUAGGAUUGUAAAAUUCUUUCACCGGGGACGAUAAUGACGGUACCCGGAGAAGAAGCCCCGGCUAACUUCGUG
rnacentral:rRNA from 1 species